CGGGCUAAACCCGCGUACAUGCCACCGGGGCAUCCCGGAGGCAGGAAAGGCUUCGGCCGGACAGGGAUGGGCAUGCGGCGCAUUAGGCAGUAGGCGGGGUAACGGCCCACCUAACCGACGAUGCGUAGGGGUUCUGAGAGGAAGGUCCCCCACACUGGUACCGAGACACGGACCAGACUCCUACGGGAGGCAGCAGUGAGGAAUAUUGGUCAAUGGUCGGGAGACUGAACCAGCCAAGCCGCGUGAGGGAGGAAGGUACAGAGUAUCGUAAACCUCUUUUGUCAGGGAACAAAGACUGGGACGCGUCCCCGGAUGAGUGUACCUGAAGAAAAAGCAUCGGCUAACUCCGUGCCAGCAGCCGCGGUAAUACGGAGGAUGCGAGCGUUAUCCGGAUUUAUUGGGUUUAAAGGGUGCGCAGGCGGUCUGUUAAGUCAGCGGUCAAAGCCCGGGGCUCAACCCCGGCCCGCCGUUGAAACUGGCAGUCUCGAGUUGGAGAGAAGUAUGCGGAAUGCGCGGUGUAGCGGUGAAAUGCAUAGAUAUCGCGCAGAACUCCGAUUGCGAAGGCAGCAUGCCGGCUCCACACUGACGCUGAGGCACGAAAGCGUGGGUAUCGAACAGGAUUAGAUACCCUGGUAGUCCACGCAGUAAACGA
rnacentral:rRNA from 1 species